UGUCCUCCUCAUCCAGAUGCUUGGAGGAUUUUUAUCUGGAGAAACGGACAGAUCCAUGAGAAAAGACGUCAAGAUACUGAAAUCUUGUGGUUCUCCAAUGAACAAGCUGACUCACUGCCUCAUCGUCUUAGGAGAAGUUUCAUCAGCCAACACCAUACCCCGCAUGCGUGGAACUCACGAAGGGCUUUCUAGAGUCCUCUCUUCAGUCUGAUCACCACUCAGUGCAGGAAAUCUCCAGGCUGAAAGGGAAAGACCCAAAUAAGCAAGAAACAAGGCGAGAACAAGAAAAAUGUACAGUAUUUAAAUAAGGGGAGGUAAAUAUUAGGAGGAUCAGCUAAAGCAGUGGAGAGUGGCUGCCCCAGGGAGCAAGAUUCAGGAGCGAGGAGGAUUGAAACUGCUGAGUUUCAUGAUUUGAAGGCAUUGACUCUGAAUUUGGGUGGAACAGGACUGUCAGACUUCACUCAGCCCCACGUUCCGCAGGACUUUUCAAGAGACGUCCUCAUUUCAGCUGGAUUUCAACCCAGUAGAAGGCUGGAGAAGUGGAGGCCACCCUGGAUCCUAAGAAAAGCUGGCAUAGAAAAAGCCUUAUCUCAAGAAAUGGUGCCUUGUUGGGAGUGGACUUCCCUCUCACCAUCCAAUUCCAGGAGUGGUGCAGCAGGUGUAUUGCAACACCGACGAGGAUUCGGAUUCGUGACAGUGUCUCCGCAAACAGGGGUGGUGAGAACAAAUGAGGGAACACAGGUGAGGUGUGGGGAGCAGUCUGCACUCAGAUCCAGGCUCACUAUCAGAAAAAAACACGGCCUAACAACUGUUCUAAAAAAGGUUUAUUAAACAUAAAUUUUUUAAGUU